rnacentral:rRNA from 1 species
AACGAACGCUGGCGGCAGGCUUAACACAUGCAAGUCGAACGCCCCGCAAGGGGAGUGGCCGCCGGGUGAGUAACGCGUGGGAACAUACCCUUUUCUACGGAAUAGCUCUGGGAAACUGGAAUUAAUACCGUAUACGCCCUACGGGGGAAAGAUUUAUCGGGGAAGGAUUGGCCCGCGUUGGAUUAGCUAGUUGGUGGGGUAAAGGCCUACCAAGGCGACGAUCCAUAGCUGGUCUGAGAGGGUGAUCAGCCACAUUGGGACUGAGACACGGCCCAAACUCCUACGGGAGGCAGCAGUGGGGAAUAUUGGACAAUGGGCGCAAGCCUGAUCCAGCCAUGCCGCGUGAGUGAUGAAGGCCUUAGGGUUGUAAAGCUCUUUCACCGAUGAAGAUAAUGACGGUAGUCGGAGAAGAAGCCCCGGCUAACUUCGUG